UGACUCUGGUUCCUCUGCAAGUCGCACAAAUCUUUCGCCUUUUACUAAAGAUUUCCGUGCAGAGGAGCAAAAAAUGAGUGCAGAGUUCGAAUUUUUGUAGGCCCAUUUGGGCAU
rnacentral:snRNA from 1 species